rnacentral:sRNA from 1 species
AUUCUGAGUUUAUGUGUUGACUCCGGUACGUCAUUGGUUAUUUGUCAUACGGCAGUGGUGGGGGAUGGAUUUACCAGAAAGAUGAUCAGCUUAUAAUUCAGAGAGUUUGCUGAGGCUAAACACUAUCAUGCCAAGUUGGUGAAUAUAAGAAAAGAGAUGCUGAUGCUUCAUGAAAAAACAUCAAAGUUAAAAAAAAGAGCACUUAAACUGCAGCAGAAGAGGCAAAAAGAAGAGUUGGAAAGGGAGCAGCAACGAGAGAAGGAGUUUGAAAGAGAAAAGCAGUUAACUGCCAGACCAGCCAAAAGGAUGUGAAAAGUUGUGUUUGUGUGUUUUCUUCUCCUGUCCCAUAUUUGGGUUAUGAUGACUCAAGUGUAGACUGAAGUUGAGGUAGUGCCUUACGCCAUUAUGUCAUAUGUUGAAAUCCUUAUUCCGGUAUUACUGUGUCUCCAUGCCUUUUUUCCAAGUAGCAGACGUCAUGUUGCUUGGUUUUUGAUAUUUAUAUGUAAGUUUUUCAAAUUUUGUUUAAUUUUAAAAUUUAUUAUUUUGAUCUUGAAUUAUUUAUAAACUGGAAAGUGGUUUGAUUAUUGUGAGUCAAAACU